rnacentral:misc_RNA from 1 species
AGCAGCCGCGGUAAUUCCAGCUCCAAUAGCGUAUAUUAAAGUUGUUGCAGUUAAAAAGCUCGUAGUUGAAUUUCGGGAUCAAUUAAUCGGUCGUGCCUCUGGUACGCACUGGUUUUAUUGGUUUCUCCCUUCUGACGAACCAGGAUGUCAUUAAUUUGGUGUCUUGGAGAAUCAGGACUGUUACUUUGAAAAAUUGAGUGUUUAAAGCAGGCUAACGCUUGAAUACAUUAGCAUGGAAUAAUGAAAUAGGACGUUUGAUCCUAUUUUGUUGGUUUCUAGGAUCGACGUAAUGAUUAAUAGGGAUAGUUGGGGGCAUUAGUAUUCAAUUGUCAGAGGUGAAAUUCUUGGAUUUAUUGAAGACUAACUACUGCGAAAGCAUUUGCCAAGGAUGUUUUCAUUAAUCAAGAACGAAAGUUAGGGGAUCGAAGACGAUCAGAUACCGUCGUAGUCUUAACCAUAAACUAUGCCGACUAGGGAUCGGAUGAUGUUAAUUUUUUAAUGACUCAUUCGGCGCCUUAAC